GUCGUACGAGAAUUUUUAAUUCAAGUGGCGGACGGGUGAGUGACACGUAAGAAUUUGCCUUUAGGAGGGGGAUAAUAACUGGAAACGGUUGCUAAUACCCCAUAUGCUUUCGAGUGAAAUGGAGUUCUCCGCCUAGAGAGAAGCUUGCGGCUGAUUAGCUUGUUGGUGGGGUAAUGGCCUACCAAGGCGACGAUCAGUAUCUGGUUUGAGAGGAUGAUCAGACACACUGGAACUGAGACACGGUCCAGACUCCUACGGGAGGCAGCAGUGGGGAAUUUUCCGCAAUGGGCGCAAGCCUGACGGAGCAAUCUCGCGUGAGGGAUGACGGCCUAUGGGUUGUAAACCUCUUUUUUCAGGGAGGAACAAAAUGACGUGUACCUGAAGAAUAAGCAUCGGCUAACUCCGUGCCAGCAGCCGCGGUAAGACGGAGGAUGCAAGUGUUAUCCGGAAUCACUGGGCGCAAAGCGUCUGUAGGUGGUUUAGUAAGUCAACUGUUAAAUCUUGAAGCUCAACUUCAAAAUCGCAGUCGAAACUAUUAGACUAGAGUAUAGUAGGGGUAAAGGGAAUUUCCAGUGGAGCGGUGAAAUGCGUAGAGAUUGGAAAGAACACCGAUGGCGAAGGCACUUUACUGGGCUAUUACUGACACUCAGAGACGAAAGCUAGGGUAGCAAAUGGGAUUAGAUACCCCAGUAG
rnacentral:rRNA from 1 species